rnacentral:rRNA from 1 species
UACGAAGGGGGCUAGCGUUGUUCGGAAUUACUGGGCGUAAAGCGCGCGCAGGCGGUCCUUCAAGUCAGAGGUGAAAGCCCAGGGCUCAACCCUGGAACUGCCUUUGAAGCUGGAGGACUUGAGUACGGGAGAGGUGAGUGGAAUUCCGAGUGUAGAGGUGAAAUUCGUAGAUAUUCGGAAGAACACCAGUGGCGAAGGCGGCUCACUGGCCCGUUACUGACGCUCAGGCGCGACAGCGUGGGGAGCAAACAGG